GCUGUCCCAAUUCCAAGGGUCCUUCAAAUGCGGCCUACGAAUGCAGCCUUCUUUUCCUGGAUUUGAAGGAUGCAUCGGCUGUAUCCUUCACGGCCCAACGUAUCCCAAGAUCCUUCACGGCCCAACGCAUCCCUCCCAAGAUUCAUUGCGCAUUCAAUCAAUGGAGAUGGCGGAGAAUGGCGGUUUAAGUUCUGCAUUUAAAUGAUUGCAAGUAUCCAGGGUCAGGAGAGGGGGUAGGUGGGAAACCCACUGCUGCCACUUGGCCCUGGUUUGUCCCCUUGGAUAAGGUAUUGUGACAUAUGCAUUCCACCAACCCCCCUGUCCUAAUUGCCUCCAUCCCUGAGAACACACCAGGGCCAA